GACGUAGGGCGCGAGCGUUGUCCGGAUUUAUUGGGCGUAAAGAGCUCGUAGGCGGCUUGUCGCGUCGUCCGUGAAAACCUGCAGCUCAACUGCAGGCUUGCGGUCGAUACGGGCAGGCUAGAGUUCGGUAGGGGAGACUGGAAUUCCUGGUGUAGCGGUGAAAUGCGCAGAUAUCAGGAGGAACACCGGUGGCGAAGGCGGGUCUCUGGGCCGAUACUGACGCUGAUGCGCGAAAGCGUGGGUAGCAAACAGG
rnacentral:rRNA from 1 species